rnacentral:lncRNA from 1 species
UUAUCAGGGUAAGGUAGGUACGUUACUUUGACAACCCUUUCUCAAUAAGUACGGCCCUUUUCCCACCAUACCAUAUGAUGUUAUUUUUGUUAAAUUGAUAAGUUUCCACCAAAAUAUCAACAUUUCAUGCGCAGGUGCUAGUAUUUGUAUUUUUUCUCUCUCUAUAUUUUAUUGGAAAAUAUUGUUCUGCUUUUCCAUUUAGGCGAUAACAUCAAUGAAAUUUUAAGCAAAGAUAUGUACCUAUUUAUUAAAAAUUAAAAUUAUUUUAAAAUAUUUUUUACUAUAAUUACCUCUUAUAUUUUAUAGCAAUUAUGGUAUACCUUACCAUUAAGGCGUAAAAUACAUUAGUUAUGUUUUAUCUCUCUUUUUUUUUUCAGUUAAAACACUCUCAAAAAUAAAUUUUUUCUUCAAUCUCUGUCAUCGAGCAAAAUACCUCCUUCUAAUAUGGCUGAAUCCUUUUUCUUCAAAAUCAGAUUCCUCCAUAGCAAGAGGGGCUCGUCGCUUUGAGACUAGGGCCACUGCGUGGGAAGCAAAAACGAUAUUGAGGGGGGAGGGGAGGGGGGAGCGGAGGGGGAAGAAAGACCUUUUCUUCAAAAUUAGAUUUCUCCAUAGCAAGUAGGGGCUCGUCGCUCUGAGACUAGGGCCACUGCACGGGGAGCAAAAACGAUAUUGAGAGAGAGAGAGAAAGAGAGGGGAAAGAGAGACGUUUUCUUCAAAAUCAGAUUCCUCCAUAUCAAGGAGGGGCUCGUCGCUCUGAGACUAGGGCCACUGCUCGGGGAUCAAAAACGAUAUUGAGAAAGAGAGAGAGAGAGAGAGAGGAAAGAGAGACCUUUUCUUCAAAAUCAGAUUCCUCCGUAGCAAGGAGGGGCUCAUCACUCUGAAGCUAGGACCACUGCGCAGGGAGCAAAAAGGAUGUCGGAAUAGUUCGAGUAGAGCAUGAGUACUGCAAAAUGAACUAUAGAUACUGCAAUAUUUUCUACGCCGGAGAAGAUUUGAGGGGCGACAUUUUUUGUUUUGUUUUCAUUUUUAGUUUUAAUACAAUGUAUACAAUAUUUUGCUUGGCCUGAAAACGCCAUCUUCGACGAACUUUCUUCUCUUAUUUGUUGUUUAGUCAUAUACAGUGAUACAAAUACAUAAUACUAUAUACAAAUUCACUCAAACACAUAGUACUUUUGUAUAUAUUUUUUGCAUGUAUUAUGUAUUUCGAAGGUCUGUAUUUUUUAAUAAAUUUGAAUACGCCUGUAGUUACGCAUAGU